rnacentral:rRNA from 1 species
CCUACGGGGGGCUGCAGUGGGGAAUAUUGCACAAUGGGCGCAAGCCUGAUGCAGCCAUGCCGCGUGUGUGAAGAAGGCCUUCGGGUUGUAAAGCACUUUCAGCGGGGAGGAAGGCGUUAAGGUUAAUAACCUUGGCGAUUGACGUUACCCGCAGAAGAAGCACCGGCUAACUCCGUGCCAGCAGCCGCGGUAAUACGGAGGGUGCAAGCGUUAAUCGGAAUUACUGGGCGUAAAGCGCACGCAGGCGGUCUGUCAAGUCGGAUGUGAAAUCCCCGGGCUCAACCUGGGAACUGCAUUCGAAACUGGCAGGCUAGAGUCUUGUAGAGGGGGGUAGAAUUCCAGGUGUAGCGGUGAAAUGCGUAGAGAUCUGGAGGAACACCGGUGGCGAAGGCGGCCCCCUGGACAAAGACUGACGCUCAGGUGCGAAAGCGUGGGGAGCAAACAGGAUUAGAUACCCGUGUAGUC